rnacentral:rRNA from 1 species
UACGGAGGGUGCAAGCGUUGUCCGGAUUUAUUGGGUUUAAAGGGUGCGUAGGCGGCCCGUUAAGUCAGUGGUGAAAGCCUCCAGCUCAACUGGAGAACUGCCAUUGAUACUGGCGGGCUUGAGUACAGACGAGGUUGGCGGAAUUGAUUGUGUAGCGGUGAAAUGCAUAGAUAUUGUCAAGAACACCGAUUGCGAAGGCAGCUUACUAGACUGUAACUGACGCUGAGGCACGAAAGUGUGGGGAUCAAACAGG